GAUGAACGCUAGCGGGAGGCUUAACACAUGCAAGUCGAGGGGCAGCAUAGGGUAGCAAUACUCUGAUGGCGACCGGCGCACGGGUGAGUAACGCGUAUGCAACCUACCCUGUACUGGGGGGAUAACCCGGAGAAAUUCGGACUAAUAUCCCAUAGAAAUAUUGGAAGGCAUCUUUUGAUAUUUAAAGUUCCGGCGGUACGGGAUGGGCAUGCGUAACAUUAGCUGGUUGGUAAGGUAACGGCUUACCAAGGCUUUGAUGUUUAGGGGUCCUGAGAGGGUGAUCCCCCACACUGGUACUGAGACACGGACCAGACUCCUACGGGUGGCAG
rnacentral:rRNA from 1 species